rnacentral:rRNA from 1 species
AAGAGUUUGAUCAUGGCUCAGAUUGAACGCUGGCGGCAGGCCUAACACAUGCAAGUCGAACGGUAACAGGAAGCAGCUUGCUGCUUCGCUGACGAGUGGCGGACGGGUGAGUAAUGUCUGGGAAACUGCCUGAUGGAGGGGGAUAACUACUGGAAACGGUGGCUAAUACCGCAUAACGUCGCAAGACCAAAGAGGGGGACCUUCGGGCCUCUUGCCAUCAGAUGUGCCCAGAUGGGAUUAGCUUGUUGGUGAGGUAACGGCUCACCAAGGCGACGAUCCCUAGCUGGUCUGAGAGGAUGACCAGCCACACUGGAACUGAGACACGGUCCAGACUCCUACGGGAGGCAGCAGUGGGGAAUAUUGCACAAUGGGCGCAAGCCUGAUGCAGCCAUGCCGCGUGUAUGAAGAAGGCCUUAGGGUUGUAAAGUACUUUCAGCGGGGAGGAAGGUGUUGCGGUUAAUAACCGCAGCAAUUGACGUUACCCGCAGAAGAAGCACCGGCUAACUCCGUGCCAGCAGCCGCGGUAAUACGGAGGGUGCAAGCGUUAAUCGGAAUUACUGGGCGUAAAGCGCACGCAGGCGGUCUGUCAAGUCGGAUGUGAAAUCCCCGGGCUCAACCUGGGAACUGCAUUCGAAACUGGCAGGCUUGAGUCUUGUAGAGGGGGGUAGAAUUCCAGGUGUAGCGGUGAAAUGCGUAGAGAUCUGGAGGAAUACCGGUGGCGAAGGCGGCCCCCUGGACAAAGACUGACGCUCAGGUGCGAAAGCGUGGGGAGCAAACAGGAUUAGAUACCCUGGUAGUCCACGCCGUAAACGAUGUCUACUUGGAGGUUGUGCCCUUGAGGCGUGGCUUCCGGAGCUAACGCGUUAAGUAGACCGCCUGGGGAGUACGGCCGCAAGGUUAAAACUCAAAUGAAUUGACGGGGGCCCGCACAAGCGGUGGAGCAUGUGGUUUAAUUCGAUGCAACGCGAAGAACCUUACCUGGUCUUGACAUCCACAGAAGAAUCCAGAGAUGGAUUUGUGCCUUCGGGAACUGUGAGACAGGUGCUGCAUGGCUGUCGUCAGCUCGUGUUGUGAAAUGUUGGGUUAAGUCCCGCAACGAGCGCAACCCUUAUCCUUUGUU